rnacentral:rRNA from 1 species
AUUGAACGCUGGCGGAAUGCUUUACACAUGCAAGUCGAACGGCAGCACGGACUACGGUCUGGUGGCGAGUGGCGAACGGGUGAGUAAUGUAUCGGAACGUGCCCAGUCGUGGGGGAUAACGAAGUGAAAAUUACGCUAAUACCGCAUACGAUCUAGGGAUGAAAGCGGGGGAUCGCAAGACCUCGCGCGAUUGGAGCGGCCGAUACCAGAUUAGGUAGGUGGUGGGGUAAAGGCACACCAAGCCAACGAUCUGUAGCUGGUCUGAGAGGACGACCAGCCACACUGGAACGGAGACACGGUCCAGACUCCUACGGGAGGCAGCAGUGGGGAAUUGUGGACAAUUGGCGAAAGCCUGAUCCAGCCAUUCCGCGUGCAGGAUUAAGACCCUCGGGUUGUAAACUGCUUUUGUACAGAAAGAAAAGGUUUCUACUAAUACUAGGAGCUCAUGACGGUACUGUAAGAAUAAGCACCGGCUAACUACGUGCCAGCAGCCGCGGUAA